rnacentral:rRNA from 1 species
UACGGAGGGGGCAAGCGUUGUUCGGAAUCACUGGGUGUAAAGGGUGCGUAGGCGGUCUGUCAAGUCUGAUGUGAAAUCCCUCGGCUCAACUGAGGAACUGCAUUGGAAACUAGCGGGCUGGAGUACUGAAGAGGAGAGCGGAAUUCCUGGUGUAGCGGUGAAAUGCGUAGAUACCAGGAGGAACACCGGUGGCGAAGGCGGCUCUCUGGUCAGAUACUGACGCUGAGGCACGAAAGCGUGGGGAGCAAACGGG